rnacentral:lncRNA from 1 species
GAUCUUUGUAAACAGCACGGAGAUCAACACGUGGAGCAGAGACGCCAUGUAAACUGUGUUUGUGUCUGUAAUGCUUGAGCCUUGGAGACUAUUUGUCUUUUUAAAAACUAAAAGAAAAACAGUAAAGUCAAGAAAGCAAACCUUGCAUCUUUAUUGGAGGACUUUUGAAUAUUAGCUAACUGUCUAGCUACGCAUAGGGAUACGCGCUGUAAGGGCAGAACAAUAAAAAGACAAGAGCACGGUGGGUUCCAGUAAUAGUACACUACACAGCCAACAUGAGUCUAUGCUCAGGGAAAAAUUAUAAUAAUGAAGACACCACUACGCACAAAGAAGCAAGUGGAGAACAGCAAGCAGAGACUGUGGAUCAAACAGCCAAGUGGCAAGAACAUCUUCAAGCCUCUGAUGCUAAGUCAUAUUCAUCCAGAGCAACCUCUAGAUCGUCUCAGCGAUCAUCAGCAACAAGUUCGUCAGCCACGAAAGCCUAUGCCAAGGCAAAAGCAGCUCAUGCUCAAUUAGCUUAUGCUGAAAAAGAAGCCGACGUGAUGAAACAGAGGGCAGACGUGAUAAAGCAAAAAGCUGACUUUGACGCCAGUCUACAUCUACUCCAGUGCCAAAGAGCUGCAGCUGCAGCUGAAGCUAUAGCUUAUGAAGAAGCAGAUGCUGAAAGCGUGAAGUUAAGUCGAGAACCCAUUGAUGAAGGUGAGCGCUUCAGUGCAGUCCAACGCACUUCCAAGUAUGUUCAAGCGCAGUCUCAGUACACCUGUUCCGGAACGCAUCCUACACAGGAGCCGUCACAAGAGCCUACACAGGAGCCUACACAGGAGCCUACACAGGAGCCUUCACAGGAGACUCCAGAAGAAUCUUCAGAGGGUCAAGAAAUGGUGACAAAUGCUGAACCACAGUUGGCAAAUGUUAAACCACAGGUGCCAAGAGAGACGGAAGUGGUGGAAGAACCACUUGUUGAGGAAUUAGCUGUCAUAGUGGAGCCAGAACCAGAGCCUAAACUAGAAAAAGUUGUUUCACACAAGAUUUUAGGAGAACCUCCCUGCUCACUUGCCGCCCUGCCGAUACAACCCCCACUCUCUCCUUUUCCACGCAGAGGACAAAGGAGAGCCCGUAGCUGCAGUUCUAACCCCCUCAAUGCUCCUGACUCAGGAAAUGAGUGCAGUUUCAGCACCUCCUGGAAACUUUGAUACGGCUCAGUGCUCGGAAAGCAAUGGAAGCAAGUUCAGUGCCUUGCUGACACCUUUUGGAAGAGAUGGAAAGGAGAGUAUCUGUCUACUCUGCAGAGCCACAGGAAGUGGACGCAAGACAAGCCGAACGUCAAAGAAGGAGACGUCGUCCUUCUCAAAGACAGUCAAGCCCAUGAGAACGAAUGGC